UCCCUGGUGGCUCAGAUGGUAAAGCAUCUGCCUGCAAUGCUGGAGAACAGGGUUCAAUCCCUGGGUGGGGAA
rnacentral:tRNA from 1 species